CAGCCGCCGCGGGAAAACGUAGGUGGCAAGCGUUGUCCGGAAUUAUUGGGCGUAAAGGGCUCGCAGGCGGUUUCUUGAGUCUGAUGUGAAAGCCCCCGGCUCAACCGGGGAGGGUCAUUGGAAACUGGGAAACUUGAGUGCAGAAGAGGAGAGUGGAAUUCCACGUGUAGCGGUGAAAUGCGUAGAGAUGUGGAGGAACACCAGUGGCGAAGGCGACUCUCUGGUCUGUAACUGACACUGAGGAGCGAAAGCGUGGGGAGCGAACAGGAUUAGAUACCCGCGUAGUCCCUGUCUCUUAUAC
rnacentral:rRNA from 1 species